GAUUGUUCCACUUUACGCUUAAGGAGCUGAAAUUCUGCAGUGUCAUUUGCCAGGAUACUGAUUAUAUAUAAGUGGGAGAUUUUUUUUUAAUCAACAAUAAAUGUCUUGCAUUGUGAAAAUAGCAGCUUGACUCCCACAUUCAUUUAGCAGCAGGAGGCAUGAAAUGGAUUGGCCCUUUUGAAUUAUUUCAGAAAUGUGCUCCAGAUGCAUGUAGAUAGAUCACUAAAUAUAAAUCUCAUUGCUUCUUUCUUUUGCUUUUUGCCCCACUGCUAAG
rnacentral:lncRNA from 1 species